AUCCAUUAUUAACAUAUGGUAAUGCGUUUUUCUGAGCCGUCUUUGAACGCACCAUAAGCGUGCUCAAGCUACUCCUGCAGGUGAGAUGACUGAUAGGAGCUGCUGUGCUGAGCAGAGCCUCGCGGUGUAAAGAGCAACUAAAACUUCACACAGUUUUUACCAAACAAACCAUUUACAAAGAACAAGGUCAGGGAGGAGACAGACCAGAUAGCCUACAGCAGCAGGGAUCAUAAUGCAGACUUUCCUCAGGUAAGGAGAAAUUAUGACUAUUAUUCUUGAAGUGGAACAGUCUUUAAAAACUGGUGUAUAGUUUGAAGUCUCUACUUUUGACAUAAUUUGUAACAGAGUCUCA